rnacentral:rRNA from 1 species
UACGUAGGGAGCGAGCGUUGUCCGGAUUCAUUGGGCGUAAAGAGCUCGUAGGCGGCCAACUAAGUCGGAUGUGAAAUCCCCAGGCUUAACCUGGGAACUGCAUCCGAUACUGGAUGGCUUGAAUCCGGGAGAGGGAUGCAGAAUUCCAGGUGUAGCGGUGAAAUGCGUAGAUAUCUGGAGGAAUACCGGUGGCGAAGGCGGCAUCCUGGACCGGCAUUGACGCUGAUGAGCGAAAGCUAGGGGAGCAACGGGG